ensembl:lncRNA
CAAGUGGUUAGAGCCCAGCUAAGUCAGGAGACGUGUCUGAAACUGACAGAUAAGCCUCUGAAACCCACCUACCAAGCUCUCCUGGAUACCAGUUUGCUGCCGCCGGUAAUCCCUCUCCGUUUUGGAGCUGCCAUUCUCGCCUGCCUGCCUCCCUGCAUUGCAUGCAGCACCCACCUGGACCUCUCCUGCCUCCCCCCUCCACGCAACCCCCACCUGCAAGCUUGUAAGACAGCUCAGUGUACUAUCCUUAGAUUCACUCGCAACCCUCUGUGGGAUUCCCCUGACUGCUCUGUCCUCUGUUUCAGUGCCCUGGCCCGCCACAGUUUCCCCUGCCCAGUACCUGCACCCAGUUAUCCCUGCCAUCUAGUUAUCAUCACAGUAUUUUUCUCUCGCCUCAGACAUCUAGUUUAUGUUCAUUGAUUCUAGUCUGCACUUUCUGUUAGCCUCUGAGCAUUGUAAAAUAAAAUCUCUUUUCGUUACACCUC